UGGGGUGUAGCUCAGUGGUAGAGCACUGGCCUAGUCUGUGUGAGACCCUGGGUUCAUCCCCAGCAUUCCCC
rnacentral:tRNA from 1 species